rnacentral:rRNA from 1 species
UCGUGGAUUGAUUUGUCUGGUUGAUUCCGAUAACGAACGAGAUCUCAACCUGCUAAAUAGCAAACGUAGUCUCCUGCUGGGUGAAUGCAGGGGUCUGCAUGGCCUCCGGGUUGUGUGGCCUCUGUUGGAUCUCGGGAGAUCUAGCGUUACGGCUUCUUAGAGGGACUGCUUCAGUUAAUGGAGAGGAGGUUUUGAGGCAAUAACA